GAUUGAACGCUGGCGGCAUGCUUUACACAUGCAAGUCGAACGGUAACAGGCCGCAAGGUGCUGACGAGUGGCGAACGGGUGAGUAAUGCAUCGGAACGUGCCCAGUCGUGGGGGAUAACUACUCGAAAGAGUAGCUAAUACCGCAUACGAUCUAUGGAUGAAAGCGGGGGACCGUAAGGCCUCGCGCGAUUGGAGCGGCCGAUGUCAGAUUAGGUAGUUGGUGGGGUAAAGGCUCACCAAGCCAACGAUCUGUAGCUGGUCUGAGAGGACGACCAGCCACACUGGGACUGAGACACGGCCCAGACUCCUACGGGAGGCAGCAGUGGGGAAUUUUGGACAAUGGGCGCAAGCCUGAUCCAGCAAUGCCGCGUGCAGGAAGAAGGCCUUCGGGUUGUAAACUGCUUUUGUACGGAACGAAACGGCUCUGGUUAAUACCCGGGGCUAAUGACGGUACCGGAAGAAUAAGCACCGGCUAACUACGUG
rnacentral:rRNA from 1 species